rnacentral:rRNA from 2 species
AGACCCGAAACCCGGUGAUCUAGCCAUGGGCAGGUUGAAGGUUGGGUAACACUAACUGGAGGACCGAACCGACUAAUGUUGAAAAAUUAGCGGAUGACCUGUGGCUGGGGGUGAAAGGCCAAUCAAACCGGGAGAUAGCUGGUUCUCCCCGAAAGCUAUUUAGGUAGCGCCUCGUGAAUUCAUCUCCGGGGGUAGAGCACUGUUUCGGCUAGGGGGCCAUCCCGGCUUACCAACCCGAUGCAAACUGCGAAUACCGGAGAAUGUUAUCACGGGAGACACACGGCGGGUGCUAACGUCCGUCGUGAAGAGGGAAACAACCCAGACCGCCAGCUAAGGUCCCAAAGUCAUGGUUAAGUGGGAAACGAUGUGGGAAGGCCCAGACAGCCAGGAUGUUGGCUUAGAAGCAGCCAUCAUUUAAAGAAAGCGUAAUAGCUCACUGGUCGAGUCGGCCUGCGCGGAAGAUGUAACGGGGCUAAACCAUGCACCGAAGCUGCGGCAGCGACACUGUGUGUUGUUGGGUAGGGGAGCGUUCUGUAAGCCUGUGAAGGUGGCCUGUGAGGGUUGCUGGAGGUAUCAGAAGUGCGAAUGCUGACAUAAGUAACGAUAAAGCGGGUGAAAAGCCCGCUCGCCGGAAGACCAAGGGUUCCUGUCCAACGUUAAUCGGGGCAGGGUGAGUCGACCCCUAAGGCGAGGCCGA